AUGAACGCUGGCGGCGUGCUUUAACACAUGCAAGUCGAGCGAGGCGGCCCCGCAAGGGUCAGUCGAGCGGCGAACGGGUGAGUAACGCGUGGAUUAUCUACCCUGAGGUGGGGGAUAACCCGGGGGGAAAACUCGGGCUAAUACCGCAUAUGACCGUGAGGUCAAAGGGGGGGGUCGCAAGAUCUCUCGCCAUAGGAGGAGUCCGCCGUUUCGAUUAAGCUAGUUUGGUAGGGUAAUGGCCUACCAAGGCCACGAUCGAUAGCCGGGCCCUGAGAGGGUGAUCGGCCACAACUGGAACUGAGACACGGUCCCAGACUCCUACGGGAGGCAGCAGUGGGGAAUUUUGCGCAAUGGGCUAACGCCUGACGCAGCAAACGCCGCGUGGAGGAUGAAGGUCUUUGGAUUGUAAACUCCUGUCGACCGGGAAAAAAAGCAACCCGACCUCAUACGUCGGGAAGUUGAUAUUGUACCGGUGGAGGAAAGCCCCGGCUAACUCUGUGCCAGCAGCCGCGGUAAUACAGAGGGGGGCAAGCGUUAUUCGGAAUUAAUAUGGGGCGUAAAAGGGGCCGCGUAGGCGGCCUGGCAAGGUGGAAGGUGAAAUCCCUCGGCUUAACCGAAGGAAACUGCCCUCCCAAACUGCUUGGCUUGAGUCCCGGGGAAGAGGUGAGUGGAAUUCCCAGUUGUAGCGGUGAAAAUGCGUAGAUAUUGGGAAGGAACACCAGUGGCGAAGGCGGCUCACUGGACCGGAAACUGACGCUGAAUGCGCGGAAAAAGCGUGGGGAGGCAAACGGGAAUUAGAUAACCCCGGUAGUCCACGCGGUCGGUAAACGAUGAGUGCUUGGUUGUGUAGCGGGGUUUAUCGACCCCUGCUGUGCCGAAAGUCAACACCAUUAAGCACUCCGGCCCUGGGGAGUACGGGUCGCAAGGCCUUGAAAACUCAAAGGAAUUGACGGGGGGCCCGCACAAGCGGUGGGAGCAUGUGGUUUUAAUUCGAAGCAACGCGAAAGAAAAACCUUACCUGGGUUUUGAACUGCAAGUGGUAAGCCUCAGAGAUGAGGUCCCCUCUUCGGAGGGCCCGCUUUGUAGAGGUGCUGCAUGGCUGUCGUCAGCUCGUGUCGUGAGAUGUUGGGUUAAGUCCCCGCAAACGAGCGCAACCCUUGCCCAUAGUUUGCUAAACGGCGUAGGUGGCGAGAGAACUCUAUGGGGACUGCCGGUGGUGAUAAACCGGAGGAAGGGUUGGGGAUGAGGACGUCAAGUCCUCAUGGCCUUUAUGUCCAGGGCUACACACGUGCUACAAAUGGACGGUACAAAGAGUCGCGAUACCGCGAAGGUGGAGCUAAUCUCAAAAAAACCGUUCUCAGUUCGGAUUGCCUCUCUGCAACUCGAGAGCAUGAAGCUGGAAUCGCUAGUAUAUCGCGGAAUCAGCACGCCGCGGUGAAUACGUUUCCCGGGCCCUUGUACACACCGCCCGUCACAUCACGAAAGUCGGUUUGCACUAGAAGUCGGUGGGCUAACCCGCAAAGGGAGGCAGCCGCCUAAAGUGUGAUCGGUAAUUGGGGUG
rnacentral:rRNA from 1 species